UACGGGGGGGGCAAGCGUUGUUCGGAAUUACUGGGCGUAAAGGGCUCGCAGGCGGCCGACUAAGUCAGACGUGAAAUCCCUUGGCUUAACCAAGGAAUGGCGUCUGAUACUGGACGGCUUGAAUCCGGGAGAGGGAAGUGGAAUUCCCGGUGUAGUGGUGAAAUGCGUAGAUAUCGGAGGAACACCAGUGGCGAAAGCGGCUUCCUGGGUCCUGA
rnacentral:rRNA from 1 species